AGGACGAACGCUGGCGGCGUGCCUAAUACAUGCAAGUCGAACGGUCUUUUCUAUGGAAGCUUGCUUCCACUGAGAAGAUAGUGGCGAACGGGUGAGUAACACGUGGGUAACCUGCCCAUAAGAGGGGGGAUAACAUCCGGAAACGGGUGCUAAUACCGCAUAGUUUUCUUGGUCGCAUGAUCGGGAAAGGAAAGACGGCCUUUGUGCUGUCGCUUAUGGAUGGACCCGCGGCGUAUUAGUUAGUUGGUGAGGUAACGGCUCACCAAGACGAUGAUACGUAGCCGACCUGAGAGGGUGAUCGGCCACAUUGGGACUGAGACACGGCCCAAACUCCUACGGGAGGCAGCAGUAGGGAAUCUUCCGCAAUGGACGAAAGUCUGACGGAGCAACGCCGCGUGAGUGAAAGAAGGUUUUCGGAUCGUAAAACUCUGUUGUCAGAGAAGAACAAGUUGGAGAGUAACUGCUCCAGCCUUGACGGUAUCUGACCAGAAAGCCACGGCUAACUACGUGCCAGCCGCCGC
rnacentral:rRNA from 1 species